GUUGAAGCAACGAAGACACGGACUGCGGAAAAUGGUUCAUGGCAACCAAAUACUCCCUGGAAAAAUAAAAUAAAAUAAUUAAUCACUUGAAUUUCUGGAAUAUACAUACCUGCAUCAACAAAUUUCCAGGCAAUCUGACACGAAUCAACGUAUAUUUGUAGCGAUAAUUGGUCAUUUGUUCGUCUUUUUGUCUCAUUUCCUUCGUACGCAAUGUCAGCAUCUAAAAAUUCAAUUUAUUGUGUGAUUUUUCAAUUUAAAGCUCCACUCACUCUCUCCACCUGCAUCUCCUUAUUUCUCUGUUCGGCUUUGAGUUCAGCAGUCGACAAAUUGUAAAAAUCAUCUGCCAACUUUG
rnacentral:sRNA from 1 species